CGCCAGCGAGAGAGCGUUGCCGCAGGCAACGACCCGAAGGGCGAAGCGCGCAGCGCUAGUAAUCCUUCCCCCACCACCA
rnacentral:sRNA from 1 species